rnacentral:rRNA from 1 species
AGAGCGAACGCUGGCGGCAGGCCUAACACAUGCAAGUCGAGCGCCCGUAGCAAUACGGGAGCGGCAGACGGGAUAGUAACACGUGGGAACGCGCCCUUCGGUUCGGAAUAACUCAGGGAAACUUGAGCUAAUACCGGAUACGCCCUUACGGGGAAAGAUUUAUUGCCGAAGGAACGGCCCGCGUCCGAUUAGCUAGUUGGUGAGGUAAUGGCUCACCAAGGCGACGAUCGGUAGCUGGUCUGAGAGGAUGACCAGCAUCACUGGGACUGAGACACGGCCCAGACUCCUACGGGAGGCAGCAGUGGGAAUAUGGACAAUGGCGCAAGCCUGAUCCAGCCAUGCCGCGUGGAUGAUGAAGGCCUUAGGGUUGUAAAGUCCGUUUUAACGGGGAAGAUAAUGACGGUACCCGUAGAAUAAGCCCCGGCUAACUUCGUGCCAGCAGCCGC